AUUGAAUGCUGGCGGCAGGCCUAACACAUGCAAGUCGAGCGAGUGGCGGACGGGUGAGUAAUGUAUGGGAAACUGCCUGAUGGAGGGGGAUAACUACUGGAAACGGUAGCUAAUACCGCAUACCAUCAGAUGUGCCCAGAUGGGAUUAGCUAGUUGGGGGGGUAACGGCUCACCAAGGCGACGAUCCCUAGCUGGUCUGAGAGGAUGACCAGCAACACUGGAACUGAGACACGGUCCGACCUCCUACGGGAGGCAGCAGUGGGGAAUAUUGCACAAUGGGCGCAAGCCUGACGCAGCCAUGCCGCGUGUAUGAAGAAGGCCUUCGGGUUGUAAAGUACUUUCAGCGGGGAGGCGUUACCCAAAGAAGAAGCACCGGCUAACUCCGUGCCAGCAGCCGCGGUAAUAC
rnacentral:rRNA from 1 species